rnacentral:tRNA from 1 species
CGCUCAGUGGUAGAGCAUCUGAUUGGCAUAUUGAUGGUUCCAGAUUCAAUCCCUGGCAGAUGGU